rnacentral:rRNA from 1 species
CAUCCUCGGGUAAGGAAAGGUGGCCUCUGAAGAUGCUACCGAUUAUGGAAGGAUCCGCGUCUGAUUAGCUAGUUGGUGGGGUAAAGGCCUACCAAGGCGACGAUCAGUAGCCGGCCCGAGAGGGUGAACGGCCACACUGGGACUGAGACACGGCCCAGACUCCUACGGGAGGCAGCAGUGGGGAAUCUUCCGCAAUGGACGAAAGCCUGACCCAGCAACGCCGCGUGCACGAUGAAGGUCCUCGGAUCGUAAAGU